rnacentral:tRNA from 1 species
GGAGAGGUGCUGGAGUGGCCGAACAGGGCAGACUGCUAAUCUGUUGUAGGGGUUUUCCUCUACCGAGGGUUCGAAUCCCUCCCUCUCCGCCA